GUCAAAUCCAGUUUUAUCUCCACCAUGACUUUUGAAGUGAAGCUCAUAUCUUUUGUUCUUGGCUUCUUAGCAAGACGCAAUCAGAGCUUGCAGCGGCACAACCGAGGGGGGAGGAGAAUGGACCAGCCAAGAAAUGAAAAUACCCUUCAGAGUGGAAAAGAGAGGUUCGGAAGAGAAGGAGAAUGGAAUCUAAAUCUGGUUUUGUCUAGAAGGGAUACAGCUUUUGUAAAAAAUAAUAAUAAUACUUUUCGUUGCAGGUUAGGAAAAUUAACAUAGCAAGUUACGAGGAGUAGGUUAAACGGGUUAGGGUUAGCAAAAAUGUACAUAAAUCAUUUUUAGACAUCAAUUUAAUCCAUGUUGAAAUGUGUCUGAUUUGCAUACUAGUAACAUGAUUGAUGGUGACAUUUCAAUAUUGGUUGUUUGACUGUUGUAACACUUACCUGUUCAUUCUGAGUGAAAAAUUAAAGAUCGGACUUGGUGUAAA